CAAUAAUGACAGCUAAUAAUGGGUUCCAUGACAUGGCUGACCUAUGAAUGACUUCACACAAAGCUGUUCGGUAACCUUUAAAAACAUAAUUAUACCUGCCUUUCCAGUGUACACUAUUAUUUCAGUGAAUGUGAAGCACACAGAUCUUGCUAUGCAUGCCACUUGAAUUGGUGGUUAUCUUGAAUUCUGAUAAAACUCACAGUAUGUCCACUAUGCAUAGGUUUGAGCCUCAGAUCAGUAGAAGAUGCAUAGGCACUUCAUACUUUCUAGACCUUGUCCAAAGUACACAAGGAUGGGACCUUGUUCAGUCACCUCCCAACAUACAUUCGUUUAAGCAGCCAAAGGAAAACCUGAAGUCCAACAUGAUGAUCAGUUAAGGAAAAUGUAAAUGUAACAACUAUAAUUGAAGUAAAUGUAGCAACUAUAAUUGAAAAUAUAUAUCUGCGUUUGACACCAGUGAGCGCAGUAAUGACGUACAGUAGAGCAGAAAUGGGAGACCCAUGUGGCUGCUGGACUACAGCUCCUAUCAUCCAUGGCCUUUGAUAGCACUGGCUGGAGCUGAUGAGAGGUGGAGCCCCACAUCAUCUGAUGAAGCACAUGUUUUUCUACCCAUGGUAUAUAGAGCAAUGGGGAUAUCAUCAGUGCAAAGGCAAAGGAACAUAAGAAGAUCCCUGGUACCUCAGACCAAAGUCUGCAAAGCCCAGCAUUCUUUCAAGCCGAUCAUGGGAAUCUCACAUUCAGAUGUGUAACUAGGGGUUGGUGAAACUGGACCCCACUGGUGGCACAGGCCCAGUGUGUGUGUGUGUGUGCACGCGCACAAACAAAAAUAACCCCACAUCUCAGACAAUGGAGAGUAUGCUCUGCUGCUGUCACUGUGAGAGAAGCUUCCCGUCUCGCACCAUGGUACAAAAAAUAAAUAAAAAUGCCCUUCUUUCUUGCCUUGCCCUUACUCCAGAUGUUUCAAGUACUUGGGUUGCAUAAAAUAUAGUAGUUUGUAAUGUGGCUAUUGCAGUAAGUAAUUUUUUUUUCCUGGGUGGAAGCCCAACCAAUACAGCUCCCUGUGAAGGGUGCAAGGGACACUAGGUAUACCUCUGUCCACAUAUAGGACAUGAGCACAAUAGCUCUCUUGUGAUCCUUUACAACUGGUAUUCAGAGUGACGCUGCCUCUGAUACUGAAGGUAAUAUAGCCAUCAUCACUAGUAGCCACUGAUGAGCAGGUAAGGUGGUAGAAGUCCAAAAUAUACUUUAACACAUGAGAACACUCCAAUGUAUUAAAUUCCCCUUGCUGGUCCUGGAACACACGACACAAAAAUAUCAGUUUUGAUCAGAGAGUGCAAGUAAUCUGAUGAGUCUCUUGAAUGACUUCAAAGAAUGUAAUUUCAAAAUGUUGUGAUGCAGUAUCAAAAGAACAUGGAAUGUGUGCUUCCCCCACCCUUAUAUUUAGAACCAAACUUCAUUUGCUUUUUCAAUCAGCCAGCCUGACACUUCUUCUCCAGCUAAACCCAGCAGUGUGAGCAUAUGCCCCAGUCUCCCCCAUCCACAUGCACACUAUUCAUUCCUCUUAAAAGUCUUUUAACAAGGCCUACACUUAAAUAUUCUCUUUUUGGAUCCAGUAGGAGCCUUCAAAGCCGAUUAUCUUGAAAAGGCUAUAUGAAUCUAUAGUGAAAUAUUUAUGGUAACUUGUCACCAGCACCUUCAUAUUGCAAUAUUUCUUUUUGUUGUCCAUCCUUCUUCCUCUGCUUAAUGACAGUAUUCCAGUGGUAGUGAAGAAGUCCAUGUGCUGGUAAUGAUGCUCCACUACCCAUGUGAUUGGGAUAUAAGAUGGUUCCUGUCAUUUUCCUUUCACUCAAAGAUGAAGGUGGGUAAAAAGGACUGUCUACUUAAGUAUUUAUAGGCAGUGUUUAUUUUUCCACAACAACAGUGAUAACAGCCUGACACAUGCCAGGAAUAUUAUUGAAGCAAAUUUGCACAUUAUCUAGAAUGGGAAAAAAUUAUACUGAAUAAUUCAUCUUGCUCUAGCCAGUGGUGUGGCGCUUUGGAGUAAUUAUUGUGUAUAAUGACAUCACUUAUUCUCUCCUUUCUACAAAGUGGGCUGUAUGCAACAUUGUCUACUAGUGCAAGGGAUCUUGUGCUAGUGAUGGGUAAAUUUUGAUGUUUAAAUGUUGCACAACAGAGGAAUCAAAUACAAUGGUCGCACAAGCAGAAACUUGUUGAGCAACGGAUUGCACAAUCUAUUGUGCAACAAAGUAAUCAGCAACCUGCUUAUGCAUUUGUGUGUGUGUGCGUGCGUGCAACAAUGACGUUCUACUUGUGCAAAACAUUUCACUAGCAGGAUCAGUUUACCACUCUGUGACUUUAACUUAGUGCUUCAUUGGAUUCCACCUCUGAAAUGUAACUUAUGUCCUUGUCAUUUGCAGUGAUUUUAGCACAACUCUUGAGAAAAAAACUUCAAUAAAUGGUGGGCUUUCUGUAGGGUGAAGUGUUGUCAUGAUUCAAUAAAUAAAUAACAGAAAUGGCCAUUUCCAUAGGUCUGCCUCCACAUGGGUGAUCUCACUGUGUAGUAUGUUGGGAUGCUCCUAAGUACAUUAUUGUGAAGUCAAACCAUUUUCUUACAUUAUUUCAGCACAGAGUUUGAGCAACUGCAAAGGAACAAGUUUGGACUGAGUAAAGUAUUUUCUGGGGAACAUUUUCAGUGUAGGGUGGGGAAAAGAGUUUUUAUGGACUUGGGUGAGGGCAAAGUGUUUCUUCAAAGAUAAUAAAAAGUGUACACUUUCCUGACUGUUCACUAAUGUUUACAGCUUUCUCAGCUAAAUGCUUCCAUACCGUAUUUUAAAAUUUUAACUUCAGUCCUCUUUGUAGAAACGACAUUGUCGCAUAAAAUAACUUUUGGCCAUGUGAUGAUGUCACAUUGUAAAAAGCAAAGUGAAUUGAGAGCAGGGGCAAGAAGAAUGAUGGUUUGAAGUAAAAACUGAAUUGAAGUAAAAAGAGAAUUCCAAAGGAGGUCGCAAAAUGAGGUCUGGCUAUGUGACGAUGUCACAGAAGGGGGAAAUGAAGGUACAUAAGAGUGAAGGCAAAAAGAGUGCUACUUUGAAGGAGCUGGGCAAAAGCUGCCACCAGCUGAUUUACAGAGAUAAUUGCAAUAGAGCUCAAAGCAGAGCAUGAUAGCGAGGUACACGGAAGGUCUUAGUUUUCCUGAACAUCUCUCGGGGGCAUCUUCUCUUUUCUCUGCUCCCCACUGCAACAACCAUAAAAAGCUUUUUUUUAAGGUGCUGAUUAGGAAGAUAAAGCCAUAAUGGAAUGGUUAUUAUUGGGCCUCUUAGCACACAAUUCUUUCAUAAUUUCAUCUCUUUUGCUCAAUGAUGCCAGAGAGAGAGAGAGAGAGAGAGAGAGAGAGAGAGAGAGAGAGAAACUUAACUCAAAGCUAAAUGUAUGCUUUUGGGCAGCAUCGUGGCUUUCCUGAAAGCCACUUUCCCUUAUUGUGAACUUGACUAAAACACAAUGGUGAGUAACUGUUCUGCUUUUCUUACUAGGUCUAAAUUGAGCCGCUUCUGAAAUAAGCAAUAAGAGAAUGUCAAGUCUUAAGUGAAAGCAAGUCCCUGAAGAGUGAUUUGAAGGUAUAGUCUGCUAUUAGAGGAAGCCAGAUAUUAGACAUAAUAGUAGAGAUACCUUUUGAAAGUCUAGGAAUGUCUCAAUAUUUGUGUGCAUGUGUGUCGAAGAAAAGUAGAGUUUCUGAAAGGGUUGCACAUAAUGGGUUGAUCUCAGUGAAAAAUGUGGGGGCGGGGGACGAUGACACACAGGCUAGAAUUACCUGGAGGCCUUUGCAGAAUCUGUUUCUUGUCACAUCUGCUCUUGAAAUUCCCAUAUCUCCCAGGGAAAAAAAAAGUUCCAUCUGGGUUUCUUCGAGUUUGCCCAGUAGAACCCCAGAUCAUGUUUUAAUCUUUAAUCAAUAGUGCAUCUUGCCUUCUGGGAGUGUGAAUCAGAUGUGCAAACUGCAAAUGCACAAGAACAGCUGCUGGGAGGCUUGGCUAGUUUUGGAUAAGAGCAGCGAAGAAGUCUUUGCUUCCUGGGAGAAGUUAUUUCUCCAUUAACUGAAUGUUACUUAGAGCUUCCAUAUGCUUGAUGGUACCUUUCUGAGUAGGCCCAUCCUUCCUUCCUUCCUUCCUUCCUUCCUUCCUUCCUUCCUUCCUUCCUUCCAUCUAUUUCUCUCGCUCUCUCUUUCUUUGUGCGUGCAUAUGAGAGAGAGAGAGAGAGAGAGAGAGAGAGAGUGCACAGAUGGAAAUAUUUCAGAGGGAGGGGGUAUUGUUUGAAGUUUCUUGAUUAUUUCACUCAAGCAAAUGACCACAUUUGCCUCUGUUUUAACUGUAGCUCCUGAUAUUAUUUUGGUUUUUAACCAGGGCCACAUUCCCUUUCAGGCAAUCUUCAAACAGCCACCAAACAAACAAACAAACAAACAAACAAAUUUGUGUACCUGUAUUCAUCUAUAGUUCUCAGGGUGGUUCAUAGCAUAUAAAUAAGAGAUAAAAAGACAAAAUAAAUGCCUGUACAGUAGUGGGUGGGGCCGAGGCAAAAGGUGGUGGAACUACUAACAUAGAUCUUAAUGUGUACCGCAUUGGUAUUGGAGGCUAAUUUCUGCACAUGCUUACUCAUCCUUCUCUGUCCUCUAUCCAGACAAGUAAGAGGCCUAAAUCCAGGACACCUUUCAGUCAGGCAAACAUACUCAGGAACAUAUAUUCCUUUGAUAAUGGAAUCGCUCCCACAGAACUUACAAGUGCACCUCCGCAAAUUUGCUUUAGGUACAGUAAGGGGGUGAUUUUAGUAACAAUUUUAACAUACUGUGGAGGAGUCAUAUGUAGUGGCUGCAUUGAAAUGAGCACUAUUGUGCUCAUGCCCAACUUGUGGGCUUCCCAUAGGCAUCUAGGUGGCCGUUGUUGAAACAGAAUGCUGAACCAGAUCGGUCUCUAGUCUGAUCAGGCAGGGAUCUUUUCUUAUGUUUUGUAAAGCUCCAUAUUAUUGCUGCCAAAAUGUAACCACCAAUGUGCAACCGUGUUAUGGAGAAGCAUCAUUUGAACUCUUUGGGCAUCUUUUCUUCAUGAGAAUAGGGAAACUGUUGUUGGAACUCACUUUAAAGUGUGCAUUAUGUCAGUGUAAAGCAGCCUAACUGGCUUCAGUGCAGCCCAUUGCUUUACUUUGAGCCAUGUCUUACCAACAAUCUCUUUCCAGUAAUUGUGCUUGUCCCCAUAAAGUAAAAGAAUUCAAGAGAAGCAAGGAAGGGGGUGCUGGAUACUGACCCCCCCUUGCUGCUUCCGUAGGAAAAGGGGUGUGGUUUAAACAACCUGGUCACCACGCCCCUUCCCAUUGUCCCCUGCUCCUUUCCCAGCAAGGGUUCAGGUGAGUGCAAAACGCCUUGGGGUGCAGCAAGCUUUGGGGAGGGGCUGGGGGAAGGAUGCAAUGCUAGGGAUGCAAUUCCUAGGGAAAGAAAGUGGCCACGUGUUCAGUUAUGGAAAACUUAAUAAAUAUUACAUACAAAAAUAAAUAAAUAAAAUAAAUACUCAAUGACCUGCCUUUCAAGUAAGUGGAAAGCCAUUUCCGACCUGGGAGGAGAGGGAGUUGCGGGCUAAUCCCUCCCCCACACACCCGGGGGCCGGCCUUUGCCCCCGCGUGAACAGGGAAUCCCCGGGCGUGUCUCCGACCCGGCCCGCCAAUCAGCGGGUCGGGGAGGUGGGGCCUAGCCUAUUUAAGGCCAGGCACGCCCAGGGACCGCCCUCUUUUCCCCUUUCCAGCCGUGAGGUUUUCCCAUCCCACCCACCCUGAGGUUAGGCUCCCUGAGGUAAGGCUAGCUAUGACCUUGCUAUGGACUUCGGUUGGUCGCCGCAAGGGGCCUGGUAGGAAUUUUUUCCAACUUGGCGCAUUUUGAGCCUUUUGGUUUUUUUGCCUACCUCGUAGCAAAUGUCACAACUUCCGCGGUAUUGGCGGUUAGGCAUUGGCAGGGGUUAAUUGUUAUGCAAAUGAAUGGGGGGGAAGGAAGCGCCAUCACCUUUCCCCCCAAUGAAAGGGGUAGUCCGGUAGAGGACUCCGGGGGGCGUUGCCUUGUCCGAAACCUAGGGAGGUAAGGGCCUCUGGCACGCCCCGGCGGUGACACCCGUGGGAUCCUAGUUGGCGUACUUCAACAGGACUCCCACGGCUUGUGGACAACCCUUCCCGGUCCCUAUGCCGGGUAGUCGAUAGGAGCCAAUGCCUAAAGCCAAUACCUUUCAAUUCUGUAAUCAAUAAAGUUGUGGCCUUUUAUGCCCAUUAACCUUAAAUAAUGUGUCCAGUGUCUUCAUUUCACAUGGGGGAGGGGACUUGCCACGCAAAUGAAGCAGCUGGUUGCCAUGGUGAAAUUAUGAUGACACUGUUACUCUGUAGUGGCAGUGCUGAAGUCCUAAAUCAGAUUCAAGGGAGGAUUUGCCCCCAAGGCCCUGCCUACCAGUUAACAGUGACCUAAAGUUUUCCAGUAAAACAUGAAAUGGUGCACACGCUACAUCUUGUUCGUGUGCUUAUCACGCAUGUCCAAAGUCCGUUUUGGGGGUCUGCCCCUUUCCCUUCAAGGGUUCAGGUGAGUGCAAAAUGCCUACUAUAAACGCAUGCAGAAAGACAAACGUAUUUUAUCACUCUACUUCCCAUGUUAAUCACACCACUAUACAACACAAUACAAUAAAAAACCUUUAUUGGCAUUUCAAGUUAAGACAUUCCAAAAUGGCUUGAGAUACAAAGUCUUUCUUCUUCCUGUUUCCUGUUUCCAAGAGAUUUGAAUGGGGAAAUCCUUUCGAUUCUUCAAUAAUAAGAGGCAGUGGGGUGAGGGAGGCCAGGGCCACAUCCACACCAUUUAACGCGCUAUGAAGCCACUUUAAACACUCAUGGCUAAACACCCCCAAAGACUCUGGGAGCUAUAGUUGGAAAAGGGUGCCAAGAGUUGUUAGGGGACCCGUUCCCUGCCAAGAAGGGAACCCUACCUCUACCCCUACCCCUACCCCUGACGCUCACCCUAACUCUAGCCCUAACACUAACCUUUAAGCCUUAACUAGAGCUACAAUUCCCAGAGUUCCCUGGCAAAAAGGGAACCCUAACCCUAAUCCUAAUCCUGCCCCUAACUAGAGCUACAAUUCCCAGAGUUCCCUGCCAAGGGAACCCCACCCCUACCCCUGCCCCUGACGCUAACCUAAUUCUAACCCUUAGCCUUAGUUGGGGCUACAAUUCCCAGGGUUCCCUGGCAAGAAGGAACCCUAACCUAACCCUAACCCUGCCCUAACUAGAGCUACAAUUCCCAGAGUUCCCUGGCAAAAGGGACCCCAGCCCUACCCCUGCUCCUGACGCUAACCCUAACUCUAACCCUUAACUAGAGCUACAAUUCCCAGAGUUCCCUGGCAAGAAGGAACCCUACCCCUACCCCUACCCCUACCCCAACCCCUACCCUACCCCUAGUCCUAAUACUUAACCACCAUAACAAGUCUCCGUCCCCUUAACCACCUACAGUUCCCAGAAUCCCUGAGGGGAAGCCAUUCCUGUUUAAAGCAUCUUCAUAGCACUUUCAGUGGACGGUGCGCCUAAUGUGGCCUAAUGUUUCCUCCCUCAUUUUCUUCUCUCUCCCCACUGCCCCAUCACUUGCAAUGCAGCAGAUGUCCGCCUGCAGUCUCCCUUCAAAGCUCCUUCUCUCAGGUAUGGCCACGGCCUUGUCCAUUGCUCACUGCCAGUAUUUCACGUUCACUUCUCCAAUGUAAAUAGGGAUGUCCUGCGGUUCUCUUGAUGACUUUGAAGGCUGGACUUGGGGAAAACCUCACCAGCUCCAAACAUCCCUGUAAGGCAAAGGCAAACAGGUGAGUGGGAUAGCCAACACCCGACAGCGUCCCCCCAGAUUCCUCCUCUGUUUGGCUGCCUGUUAACAAACAAGGCUUCCAAACCAGUUUACAUCCAUCUCAGCCAGCGUAGCCUUACAACAUCCACUAGCUUGAAUGCAAACUCUUCCAACAACCAUCCACCAGCUGCAACCACGUCAGGUCCAUUGCCAGACAUCAACCAGCUUCAGAGCUGAGUGUCAGUUGCCUUCAAGUAGUGAUCCCACCAGCAACUAAACUUUGUACUUGCCUUCUCCUUGCUCCACAGCAUCCCAGCACCGGGCGAUUGCCUCCUUCCGCUUGCCAGCUUGCCACCAUGGGGCAGGAGACCACCUGGGCUGAGUGCCACCGAGCUGCCCAUUUCUCUCUGGGGAGGGCAACUGCUGAGGCUUGCGCCUUGGCCCACAUUUAUACCCGCUCAACAGCCAAAUGUUUUUGUCACAUCACAAUCAACCCACGGACAAUGGCAGCAGCUGGGGAGGCAUCACCAUCACUCCCUCAGCCCUCACAAUGGUGAGCACAGCUCAGCAGCCAACACACACACACAAGUUGUGCCAAUAUCUGUGAAGGUCACACCGGAAACCCAAAGGGGCAGGAGGGGGACAUUUUUCAGCCCAGUGGUUACAUUUCCCUCCACACAACACUAGUCCAAUACACAAAUGAACAGAGCAAUGAAAGCAAGCCUUAUCUUUGCACAGGAAGUUGUUCAAGGAAUGACAUGCAGAGAGAAAGUUAGCAUCUCAGGAAAAAAACACUUUUUCAUCAGUCAAUCAAUCAAUCAAUCAAUCAAUCAAUCAAUCAUUUAUUGUAUUUGACUAAAACCCAUUAUAAAUCCAGUUACAAAAGCACCAAACCCAAUGACCCAAACUAUAGCUCCCAGAUUCUUGGGGGGAAGAAACCAGGUGGAUGCCAUGUGAACUCAGCGAUGUGUCAAGUGAUGGCUGCAUACUACCUCCAGGUUCAGAGGCGGCAUAUUUCUGUAUAUCAGUUUCUGAGAAUCACGAGGGCUGUGGUGGUCAGAUUCUGCUUGCAAUUUUUGCACAGGCAUCUGUGAGAAUGGGAUGCUGAACUCGGCCACUGGCCUGAUCCAGGCAGCUUUCUUAUGUUACAAAGGAAGACUUCCAAGAGAAUACUUUUAAUGUAGCACUCCAAGAAAUGCUGCAAGUUUCAGAAAGUCACAUAAUGCACUCCAAAAUCAGAAAUUUUGAAACCAUUUCAGCACUGUGUCAUUUUACUUUCUCCCUGCAUCUCUUAUCUGAACUAUGCACUUGCAGUUUCUUUGAGUAUGUUUUUUUUCCAAUUUAAUUUUAUUUGGUAGCCAUUUCUCCCUUUCUGAGGAAGGAACAAAAACAUUUGUAGUUCUCAGUGUCCCUGACUUAAGAGUCUGACUCGUCUUCCCUGCCUACCAAGCGCUCACUGGCUGGUGUGCCUUUCCACUGUAGGGAGAUCAGAAGAGGACCAAUUCAUUAAGCCUAAGCAGCCACCAGCUUGGGUAGGGUUCUUGGCAGGGAACAGGGGGUCCCCUAACAACUCUUGGCACCCUUUUCCAACUAUAGCUCCCAGAGUCUUUGGGGGUGUUUAAGCCAUGAGUGUUUAAAGCGGCUUCAUAGCGCGUUAAAUGGUGUGGAUGUGGCCCUGGCCUCCCUCACCCCACUGCCUCUUAUUAUAGAGGAAUCGAAAGGAUUUCCCCAUUCAAAUCUCUUAGAAACAGGAAACAGGAAGAAGAAAGACUUUCUAUCUCAUGCCAUUUUGAAAUGCUUUAACUUGAAAUGCCAAUAAAGGUUAUUGUAUUGUACUGUAUUGUUUUGUGUUGUGUUGUAUUAGGAUUAACAUGGGAAAUGGAAUAGUAAAAUGUCAAUGAGGUGAACACAAUACUUCUGUAAACUGGCACGCCCCUUCUUGUGGGUGUGGAAGCAACUUGUGGCUGGACAAGCAACUUUAUAAGAUGUGUUUUUCCUGAUGAAGAUGUGCCUGAUCUUGGCUUACCCCAUUUGCAAAAUCCUUAAGCUAAGACUCCAAUACUUUGGCCACCUCAUGAGAAGAGAAGACUCCCUGGAAAAGACCCUGAUGUUGGGAAAGAUGGAGGGCACAAGGAGAAGGGGACGACAGAGGACGAGAUGGUUGGACAGUGUUCUCGAAGCUACCAGCAUGAAUUUGACCAAACUGCGGGAGGCAGUGGAAGACAGGAGUGCCUGGCGUGCUCUGGUCCAUGGGGUCACGAAGAGUUGGGACACGACUAAGUGAUUAAACAACCAAUAAUAAAAAGAUUUCCUAAUUAACUCAUUUUGUCCAGAUCACUUUAUUUAAAAGGAUCCAGAGACCUUAAGUCAAAGGAACCAGUUAGUUAUCUCUCACAGAGGGCAAAAUAAAUAAAUAAUACCAAUCCCUCAACUGUCGAAACAAACAGUCUUGCAGCACUGUACAAACUAACAGAUUAUGGAAAACUUUUUUUAAAUGGGAGGGUCAGGGGGCCUUGGUGGGUGCUAAGGAGGGCUUCUGAGGGUGCCAUGGAGUCCACAUGCCACACGCGUCACAAGGGAGGGGGGUACUCUGUCAUCAUUUCUUUAUUAACAAAUGCCCUCCCCCUUGAGUCCUAGUUUCCUCAGCCCUGUCUAUGUAUGGUCUCCUGUGAUGUCACAAACAAGACACAGCAGCUGAGGGGAAAGAGGCAGUUUCUUAUUCUAGAAUUUGAAACACAGGAGGGCAGGAGGGGGACAUUUUUCAGCCCAGUGUUUACAUUUCCCUCCACACAACACUAGUCAAAUGCACAAAUGAACAGAGCAAUGAAAGCAAGCCUUAUCUUUGCGCAGGAAGCUUUUCAAGGAAUGACAUGCAGAGAGAAAGCACCAAACCCAAGUAAACCUAAUAAAAAUAUAUAUACGUUGUUCUGGAAUGCAGGAAACUCAGCUGAAAUUUAGGAAACGUUUGUCUUUCUGCAUGUGUUUAUAGUAUCCAUACUGCUAUUGGGAAUACUCAAAAUGGGAGGGGGGCCCCCCUCAGCUGCACACCCACCUCCCUUCAUUCUCCCUCCCCCAUCUGCCCAGCAGCUUCCCUGCCUGCUGUCUCCCCCUCCAUCAUCACACUGGCAUUGCAUCCUCCCCUUGUCCCCCCAGCUUGCUGCGCACCAAGGCGUUUUGCACUCACCUGAACCCUUGCAGGGAAAGGGGCAGGGCACAAUGGGAAGGGGCAGGGUGACCGAGCUACUUAAACAACACCCCUUUUCCAACGGAAGCACCAUGGGGGGUGGUCCUCCGAGAGAGAACAACAACAGAACAGAACAAAGAAGAAAGAAGACGGAAGUGGCGCACAGUUCCUUCUGUUCCCUCGCUUCCAAAGAAUGGAAUGUCAACACACAAAGCAUGUGAUCCAGUAUAGACACACACUCUGCAGCACGGGAGAGAAGGAAGCUCCGGAUAUCCAGCACCCCCUUCUCUGCUUCUCUUGAACUCUUUGACUGUAACCCUGUCCAAUCUUUUUUCAAAGAGGGCCAGAUUUGAUGAAGUGAAGGGCCAUGAGGGCCGCCGAAACAGCCAACCCAAGUUGUUAACCUUUUUUUAGGGUUGAAUUUGUUGAGGGUUUUUUUUUUUUAGGAUUUUACCCCAGGAAAUAAAUAAACUGCCACAGGGGCCGGAUUAAACCGACCAGUGGGCUGGAUUAGGCCCCCAAAACAGACUUUGGACAUGCGUGAUAAGCUCACGAACAAGAUGUAGCGUGUGCACCAUUUCAUGUUUUACUGGAAAACUUUAGGUCACUGUUAACUGGUAGGCAGGGCCUUGGGGGCAAAUCCCCCCUUGAAUCUGACUUAGGACUUCAGCACUGCCACUACAGAGUAACAGUGUCAUCAUAAUUUAUAAUAAUAAUAAUAAUAAUAAUAAUAAUAAUAAUAAUAAUAAUAUCUUUAUUGUCAUUGCCCCCUUCGGGGACAACGAAAUUACUUGACUGCUCCAUAAAAACACUAAUUAAUCAAUACAGUAUAAUACAGCAAGGGAGAUUAGAUGACUUUCCAAAGUCCGGGCUUCCCAUUCAGGGCCGAGAUCGCUCUGGAGAAGAAGCUGUUCUUAAGACGGCUCGUUCUUGUCUUCAUCGUCCUGUAUCUCCGUCCCGACGGCAAGAGCUCGAAGAGACAGUGACCAGGAUGCGAUGGAUCUUUUACUAUGUCCAGUGCCUUCCUAUGGCACCUUGUGGCAUAAAUCUGCUCUAAGGUGGAGAGUGGGCAGCCAACAAUGCUCUCUGCUGCCUUAACAACCCUGCACAACCCCAUCCUGUCCUGGGUAGUACAGCUUCCGUACCACACACAUAAGCCAUAAGUGAGCACGCUCUCAAUGGCACAGUGAUAGAAGGCAAGCAGCAGUUUCUGCGGAAGAUGGUUUUUCCUUAGUAUUCUCAAAAGUACAGUCUCUGCUGCGCCUUCUUCACAAGCCCCCUUGUGUUGACACUCCAGGACAGAUCCUCUUGUAAUUCAAUGCCCAAAAAUCUGAACGUUGUUACCCUCUCCACACAGACCCCAUCAAUCAAAAGUGGUUCACCAUGGCAACCAGCUGCUUCAUUUCCACUUGCGAUGAGCUGGGGGUGCCACUGGCCGCGGAGAAAACAGAGGGUCCAUCUACUUCAUUGGUCUAUCUAGGCAUUGAGUUAGACACCGUAGCCCAAACGUCCAGACUGCCUCGGGAAAAACUGUUAGCCCUUAAGGAAUUGAUACAACAGCUACUGCCUCUAAAGAAGGUUACUCUAAGGCAAAUUCAAUCCCUGCUAGGUCACCUAAAUUUCGCUUGUAGGGUAGUGGCACCGGGUCGACCUUUUUGUGGCCGUCUGGCCAGACUGUCGGCAGGUCUCAGGGCACCGCAGCAUAGGGUUCGCCUCUCUAAGGAAGUCAAGGCAGAUUUGGAAGUCUGGCUGCAAUUCCUCGAUAAAUACAAUGGCAUAUCCCUGUGGCAGGACUCCAUAGCACUCAAUGCUGACUUCCAAGUCCAGUCAGAUGCAGCAGGGUCCUUGGGUUUCGGAGUUUAUUUCAGGGGUCAGUGGUGUGUAAAAAGGUGGCCGGAAGACUGGCAGGGCCAGCCCAUUUCUUGGGACCUUACAUUCUUGGAAUUUUUCCCUAUCCUAGUGGCAGUACAUCUCUGGGCAGAGCAGUUUCGCAAUCAUAGGGUCUGCUUCAACACAGAUAACCAGGCAGUGGUAGUGGUUCUUUCCAGACAGUCCGCGCGCUCCUCUAGGGUGGGAAACUUGUUGCGGUCCUUCGUCCUCCUGUGUCUCGAGAACAAUAUAUAUUUCUCAGCCAAAUUCGUACCCGGCAUUAAUGACAUCGCAGAUGCUCUGUCUCGCUUUCAGAUGGAGCGCUUCCGCUCAUUAGCGCCGGAUGCGGAACAAUCAUCGAUGCCUUUCCCGGAGCAUCUCUGGAGUCUUGGGAGGAAGAAGUGAUGAAGGGAGUAUUCGGUGCAGUCGCCCCCUCCACAAUGAGAUCUUACAAGAAAGCGUGGGCCGACUUCCUAAAGUUCCGCAAUAAGUUUCCCAGCGCGAAACGGAACUCUGUUCCCUCAACGAGGGAGGUCCUCCACUAUUUAGCCCACCUGAAGGAACUGGGCAGGGCACCUAAGACUCUCAAUAUUCAGUCCGCAGGAAUUUCAUAUUUUUACAAAACCUUUUUCGCCACCGACCCGUGUGCUAAAUUUAUAGUAAGACUUUAGAAUGGUGGCACCGGCUGCAGCCCCCCAGCUCUGACAGGAGGAAGCCCAUAACUUUUGACAUUCUGACCCAGAUACACAAAAACUUAUGUGCAAUAUGCUGGUCAAAAUACGAAGCUCGCCUAUUCUCGGCUGCUUAUUCCAUAGCCUUCUUUGGGGCACUUCGCAUAGGGGAAGUGGUUUGUGAGGGAGGGGCUCUCCACGCCCAGAGGGGUAUCCUCUUAAGUGAUCUGACCCUGUCAACAAACGAGCUUAUAGUCCAAGUUCGGAGCUCCAAGACCGAUCAGCAGGGCAGGGGGGCCCUUCUACAGUUACCAGGAGUGCAAGGUAGUGGCCCCUGCCCGGUUAGGGAUACGAGGCAUUUCCUCUACCUAAGACCCAGUAGCCCAGGCCCCCUGUUAAUUCAUGCCGAUGGCUCGCCUUUGGCUAGGCACCAGUUUACACGGGUGAUGCGCAGGGCUUUGGCUGCAUGCGGGCUGCCUGCGGCCGAAUUUGCGGCUCACUCCUUUCGGAUCGGUGCUGCAACCGCUGCUGCGCACCUCGGGCUCUCCACGGAGAGGAUAAAGGAUCUGGGCCGGUGGAAAUCUAAUGCAUACAGAGCUUACGUAAGAAAGAAUCUAUGACUAGUGGGCGCGCGCCUGACCUCGGUUUCUCUGUCUAUUUGCUUUUCAGAAUGCCGAAAGGUACGCAUUUGAUUGGUGGGCCAUAGCAUCGUGCAUUGGGCCAGGCAGCGGGCAAUGAGUACCGGGCUGGGGAAAAACUUGAACUUACCUGCAGGUGUUCAGCUGACGUGGAUGGCGAGAAGAGGC